rnacentral:rRNA from 1 species
AUUGAACGCUGGCGGCAUGCUUUACACAUGCAAGUCGAACGGUAACAGGCCUUCGGGUGCUGACGAGUGGCGAACGGGUGAGUAAUGCAUCGGAACGUACCCAGAGGUGGGGGAUAACGCAGCGAAAGCUGUGCUAAUACCGCAUGUGAUCUGAGGAUGAAAGCGGGGGACCGAGCAGCAAUGUUUGGCCUCGCGCCUUUGGAGCGGCCGAUGUCGGAUUAGCUAGUUGGUGGGGUAAAGGCCUACCAAGGCGACGAUCCGUAGCUGGUCUGAGAGGACGACCAGCCACACUGGAACUGAGACACGGCCCAGACUCCGACGGGAGGCAGCAGUGGGGAAUUUUGGACAAUGGGCGCAAGCCUGAUCCAGCAAUGCCGCGUGCGGGAAGAAGGCCUUCGGGUUGUAAACCGCUUUUGGCAGGAACGAAACGGUGUCCGCUAAUACCGGGCGCUAAUGACGGUACCUGCAGAAUAAGCACCGGCUAACUACGU